CAUGGCUGUUUUUUUUUUUUCUUGUAGGUAACUAAUUCUAAUGACCUGGUAUGCUGCAACAAAGCCUAAGCCACGUCUUCAUUGGCAGCUGAAGCCAGUACUGUUACCCCAACAGGAUUACUGAUCUUCUUUGGAAUUCUAUUGGAGAGUAGAGGCCUGCCAUCUUAGUGGCAUGCAGUUAAUGACUCGUAUGGGAAGGUUACUACAAUAUCCAGUUUUGAUCUUCAGCUACCAGGGAAUUGUAGGAUGGAAUAUUACCUUACCUUCUGACAAUGGAUCACUGUCCAGAAGAGCUACUAGAACAAAACCUUAUGUCACAGGUAAAACAAGAUCCCAAGAACUUGGCCAACUGAUGUCUGAAGAGGACUUAAAUGCCAGGCCUCUCUUGCUAUCUGUUGUCUCGCCAUCUGAAAAGAAACAAACCAGGAAAAAUUGUGUUAGGAAAAAGUCCAUCUACCUCUUUUCCUCAGUUUCCCUAGGUCCACGGGGGAGAAUAUUUAAAUGUUCACAUCAGAGUUUAGAUGCAUUUCCCCUUUCAGGACAUUUUUCUACGUGGUCUUUUGCAUGCAAGCAUGAAAUCAUUCUGUCUGCACUCUGAGCAUAUGUGCAUUCACUCUACGCAUCCUUGGAUGAGCACGCUGCUUAGCACAAAUUGAUAUUUUCUGUCUUUCAGCAGGGGCUUUAGUUUGGGCUCCACACUAAAUGCAGUAACAUGGCUUCCAGUUUAGAGCUGUCAUACAUCCAGCUGGCUCAAAU
ensembl:lncRNA